rnacentral:lncRNA from 1 species
AUGGAGGCAGCCAUGACAACACAACUAAAGACACGAAAAAGGACUUCCAGAACUGCUUCAGAAAGUGGCGACAACGAUGGGAUAAAUAUGUUUGAGGUGGUAUUCUAUUUGUCUGGGGAUUUGCGAGGCUCCUAAGGAGAGGGCUGGUGAUCAGACUGGUCCUGACAAGAAAGCCCAGGAAAGCUCGUAAGUCUGGAAAACUACUCCGUUUUCAUGAUGCCUGGAGGCCCAGGUGACACUGUGUGGUUGUGGAAAUCUUUCCAUAUACCUCUGGAAGCAGCUGAAUUUGGUGAGAAGAUAAAAGGUUGCACAGAAGCCACAAGAUGAGGCCCAGAGGACCACCCCCUCCCCACCCAAGCGAAGGACUGGAAACACAUCACCAUCCAGCAUUUGGCCUUUUAUGGGCCCAGUUCUAGCAUUCGUGUUCAGAGUCACCUUACUUGCUUGCAAGAGUCUAGAUAUCUUUUAAAGCCACUUUCUACCUGGGUGCCGAAAGGAGGCAGGUCUGAGCAGUGUUACAGUUGAAAUGGAGGCCGAAGAGCGAAAUAGGAAUGCUGGUGGGAGACAACUGGCCCCUUGCUCUUUGCACUCAAUAGAACAAUACUAAUGAUUUGUGUGAUCUUGAGCACUGGCAGCGGGUGGCCUUUACCUUCCACCUAGGGUCAGAAAUGCUGUACUAUACAAGGGAAGAGGACCAGAGGUGGAGGGGCAAGGGAGAGAGGGGAAGGGAA